GCGGGGGUACCCUAGGUUGGCCAAAGGGGCGAGAGCCCUGCCACGGGUCGCCGGACUUAAGAUCCUAGGGACUGGGAUGGGAGAUCUCGUGGCUUAGGCCUUCGUGGGUUCGAGUCCCACCCCCCGCA
rnacentral:tRNA from 1 species